GGUUAAGCGACUAAGCGUACACGGUGGAUGCCCUGGCAGUCAGAGGCGAUGAAGGACGUGCUAAUCUGCGAUAAGCGUCGGUAAGGUGAUAUGAACCGUUAUAACCGGCGAUUUCCGAAUGGGGAAACCCAGUGUGAUUCGUCACACUAUCAUUAACUGAAUCCAUAGGUUAAUGAGGCGAACCGGGGGAACUGAAACAUCUAAGUACCCCGAGGAAAAGAAAUCAACCGAGAUUCCCCCAGUAGCGGCGAGCGAACGGGGAGCAGCCCAGAGCCUGAAUCAGUGUGUGUGUUAGUGGAAGCGUCUGGAAAGGCGCGCGAUACAGGGUGACAGCCCCGUACACAAAAAUGCACAUACUGUGAGCUCGAUGAGUAGGGCGGGACACGUGGUAUCCUGUCUGAAUAUGGGGGGACCAUCCUCCAAGGCUAAAUACUCCUGACUGACCGAUAGUGAACCAGUACCGUGAGGGAAAGGCGAAAAGAACCCCGGCGAGGGGAGUGAAAAAGAACCUGAAACCGUGUACGUACAAGCAGUGGGAGCACGCUUAGGCGUGUGACUGCGUACCUUUUGUAUAAUGGGUCAGCGACUUAUAUUCUGUAGCAAGGUUAACCGAAUAGGGGAGCCGAAGGGAAACCGAGUCUUAACUGGGCGUUAAGUUGCAGGGUAUAGACCCGAAACCCGGUGAUCUAGCCAUGGGCAGGUUGAAGGUUGGGUAACACUAACUGGAGGACCGAACCGACUAAUGUUGAAAAAUUAGCGGAUGACUUGUGGCUGGGGGUGAAAGGCCAAUCAAACCGGGAGAUAGCUGGUUCUCCCCGAAAGCUAUUUAGGUAGCGCCUCGUGAAUUCAUCUCCGGGGGUAGAGCACUGUUUCGGCAAGGGGGUCAUCCCGACUUACCAACCCGAUGCAAACUGCGAAUACCGGAGAAUGUUAUCACGGGAGACACACGGCGGGUGCUAACGUCCGUCGUGAAGAGGGAAACAACCCAGACCGCCAGCUAAGGUCCCAAAGUCAUGGUUAAGUGGGAAACGAUGUGGGAAGGCCCAGACAGCCAGGAUGUUGGCUUAGAAGCAGCCAUCAUUUAAAGAAAGCGUAAUAGCUCACUGGUCGAGUCGGCCUGCGCGGAAGAUGUAACGGGGCUAAACCAUGCACCGAAGCUGCGGCAGCGACGCUUAUGCGUUGUUGGGUAGGGGAGCGUUCUGUAAGCCUGCGAAGGUGUACUGUGAGGUAUGCUGGAGGUAUCAGAAGUGCGAAUGCUGACAUAAGUAACGAUAAAGCGGGUGAAAAGCCCGCUCGCCGGAAGACCAAGGGUUCCUGUCCAACGUUAAUCGGGGCAGGGUGAGUCGACCCCUAAGGCGAGGCCGAAAGGCGUAGUCGAUGGGAAACAGGUUAAUAUUCCUGUACUUGGUGUUACUGCGAAGGGGGGACGGAGAAGGCUAUGUUGGCCGGGCGACGGUUGUCCCGGUUUAAGCGUGUAGGCUGGUUUUCCAGGCAAAUCCGGAAAAUCAAGGCUGAGGCGUGAUGACGAGGCACUACGGUGCUGAAGCAACAAAUGCCCUGCUUCCAGGAAAAGCCUCUAAGCAUCAGGUAACAUCAAAUCGUACCCCAAACCGACACAGGUGGUCAGGUAGAGAAUACCAAGGCGCUUGAGAGAACUCGGGUGAAGGAACUAGGCAAAAUGGUGCCGUAACUUCGGGAGAAGGCACGCUGAUAUGUAGGUGAAGUCCCUCGCGGAUGGAGCUGAAAUCAGUCGAAGAUACCAGCUGGCUGCAACUGUUUAUUAAAAACACAGCACUGUGCAAACACGAAAGUGGACGUAUACGGUGUGACGCCUGCCCGGUGCCGGAAGGUUAAUUGAUGGGGUUAGCGCAAGCGAAGCUCUUGAUCGAAGCCCCGGUAAACGGCGGCCGUAACUAUAACGGUCCUAAGGUAGCGAAAUUCCUUGUCGGGUAAGUUCCGACCUGCACGAAUGGCGUAAUGAUGGCCAGGCUGUCUCCACCCGAGACUCAGUGAAAUUGAACUCGCUGUGAAGAUGCAGUGUACCCGCGGCAAGACGGAAAGACCCCGUGAACCUUUACUAUAGCUUGACACUGAACAUUGAGCCUUGAUGUGUAGGAUAGGUGGGAGGCUUUGAAGUGUGGACGCCAGUCUGCAUGGAGCCGACCUUGAAAUACCACCCUUUAAUGUUUGAUGUUCUAACGUUGACCCGUGAUCCGGGUUGCGGACAGUGUCUGGUGGGUAGUUUGACUGGGGCGGUCUCCUCCUAAAGAGUAACGGAGGAGCACGAAGGUUGGCUAAUCCUGGUCGGACAUCAGGAGGUUAGUGCAAUGGCAUAAGCCAGCUUGACUGCGAGCGUGACGGCGCGAGCAGGUGCGAAAGCAGGUCAUAGUGAUCCGGUGGUUCUGAAUGGAAGGGCCAUCGCUCAACGGAUAAAAGGUACUCCGGGGAUAACAGGCUGAUACCGCCCAAGAGUUCAUAUCGACGGCGGUGUUUGGCACCUCGAUGUCGGCUCAUCACAUCCUGGGGCUGAAGUAGGUCCCAAGGGUAUGGCUGUUCGCCAUUUAAAGUGGUACGCGAGCUGGGUUUAGAACGUCGUGAGACAGUUCGGUCCCUAUCUGCCGUGGGCGCUGGAGAACUGAGGGGGGCUGCUCCUAGUACGAGAGGACCGGAGUGGACGCAUCACUGGUGUUCGGGUUGUCAUGCCAAUGGCACUGCCCGGUAGCUAAAUGCGGAAGAGAUAAGUGCUGAAAGCAUCUAAGCACGAAACUUGCCCCGAGAUGAGUUCUCCCUGACCCUUUAAGGGUCCUGAAGGAACGUUGAAGACGACGACGUUGAUAGGCCGGGUGUGUAAGCGCAGCGAUGCGUUGAGCUAACCGGUACUAAUGAACCGUGAGGCUUAACCUU
rnacentral:rRNA from 1 species